rnacentral:ncRNA from 1 species
CUUAUCCAGAGAGGUCGAGGGACGGGCCCGAUGAAACCCGGCAACCUGGCGUCCACGCGCAGGUGCCAAUUCCCGCGGCGCAUAUCGCGCCGAAAGAUGAGG